rnacentral:rRNA from 1 species
CCUACGGGAGGCAGCAGUGAGGAAUAUUGGUCAAUGGCCGCAAGGCUGAACCAGCCAUGCAGCGUGAAGGUCAGUGCCCUUUGGGCGUUUAAAUUCUUUUUUGCGGGAGCAAUAAUGGUCACGUGUGGCCAUACUAGAGUUCCGUCCGAAUUAGCAUCGGCUAAAUUCGUUCCCGCCGCCGCGGUGAUUCGGGGGAUGCCAGCGUUAUCCGGGUUUAUUGGGGUUUAAGGGUGCGUAGGCGGGGCGGUCAGUCAUCGGUGAAAUGGCCUCGGGCAACGGGGUGAAGUGCCAUUGAUACUGGCGUGCUGGAAUGCGGAUGCGGUGGGAGGAAUGUGUGGUGUAGCGGUGAAAUGCGUAGAUAUCAGGAGGAACACCGAUGGCGAAGGCGGCCUGCUGGACUGCGACUGACGUUGAGGCCCGAAAGCGUGGGGAGCAAACAGGAUUAGAUACCCGGGUAGUC